UUUGAGAUCUGACAGGCAGAUUCGAUGGCAGCAACGUAAUGUACAUUAAGUACAUGAGGCGCCGACAGAUGAAUCUAACGAACUUAGAACGCAAAAGAACUAACACAAUUUGGGGGUGUAGCUCAGCUGGGAGAGCGCCUGCCUUGCACGCAGGAGGUCAUCGGUUCGAUCCCGUUCACCUCCACCAAUAUAUGUGUGAUCUGUGAAGAGUGUGAGUAUAGAUAAGAUAUUUGAACGUAGGAUGAUCGGAAGAUUGGACUGCGUUAGAUGGAUGACAGAGUAAAGACGAAUACAAUAAACAAUCUAGUUUAACAUUAUAGUGUUAAGUUAGGCUGACGAAAGUUAGGCUAAUAAAACACAAACGCGAAACUAAAUUCAAUUUAACAGAAGCUCUUAAGAGUAAUUCUUGGGAGCGUCGAGUCAAACUUGUUUUAGGGAUGUUGAGUUAGAACUAGGCGAGUUCAAGAGAGGCGACGCAAUGUAUGAAUAAUACAUGAGGAGCCAAACGAAGAACUCAACGACGUAAAUAACUCAAGAGACCAAAACAAGGAUAUCAAGCGUCAAAAGGGCAUCUGGUGGAUGCCUAGGCACAAAGAGGCGAUGAAGGACGUGCUAA
rnacentral:tRNA from 1 species